rnacentral:lncRNA from 1 species
GUCCUUCUGGGUCUCUAUGGGUCUCUAUGAGUCCCUAGGGUUCCUAUAGGGCUCUAUGGGCCUCUAUGGGUCCUUAUCGGUCUCUAUGGGGCUCUAUGGGGCUCUGUGGGUCUCUAUGGGUCCCUAUGUGUCCCUAUGGGUCUUUAUGGGAUCUGUGGGUCUCUAUUGGGUCCCUAUGUGUCCCUAUGGGUCUCUAUGGGUCUCUAUGGGUCCCUAUGGGGCUCUGUGGGUCCCUAUGGGUCUCUAUGUGUCCCUAUGGGUCUCUAUGGGUCUCUAUGUGUCCCUAUGGGUCUCUAUGGGUCUCUAUGGGUCGCUAUGGGUCUCUAUGUGUCCCUAUGGGUCUCUAUGUGUCUCUAUGGGUCUCUAUGGGGCUCUAUGGGUCUCUAUGGGUCUCUAUUGGUCCCUAUGAGUCUCUAUGGGUCUCUAUUGGUCCCUAUGAGUCUCUAUGGGGCUCUAUGGGUCUCUAUGGGGCUCUAUGGGUCUCUAUGGGUCUCUGUGCGUCUCUAUGGGUCUCUAUGGGUCUGUAUUGGUGUCUGUGGGUCCCUAUGGGUACCUGUGGGUCCUUAUCAGUCUCUAUAGGGCUCUAUGGGUCUCUAUGGGUCUCUAUGGGUCUCUAUAGGGCUCUGUGGGUCUCUAUGGGUCCGUAUGGGUCCCUAUGGGUCUUUAUGGGAUCUGUGGGUCUCUAUUGGGUCCCUAUGGGUCCCUAUGGGUCCCUAUGGGUCUCUAUGGGUCUCUAUGUGUCCCUAUGGGUCGCUGUGGGUCCCCGUGUGUCCCUAUGGGUCUCUAUGGGUCCCCCUGUGUCCCCCUGUGUCCCUAUGGGUCCCUAUGGGUCCCCAUGUGUCCCUAUGUGUCCCCCUGUGUCCCCGUGUCCCUAUGGGCGGCCAUGGGUCCCGCAGACGUUCGGGCGCCGCGCUCUGCCCGCCCUGCACUGGCUUUUCCCGCUGGCCGUCACCUUGUCCACCUUCGGCGGCGUCAACGGAUCCCUGUUCACCUGCUCCAGGUCUGCCCCAUAGCCGCCCCAUAGCCGCCCCAUAGCCACCCCAUAGCCACCCCAUGGCCGCCCCAUAGCUGCCCCAUAGAGACCCCAUAGAUACCCCAUAGCUGCCCCACAGCCGCCCCAUAGAUACCCCAUAACUGCCCCAUAGAUACCCCAUAGCUGCCCCAUAGCCGCCCCAUAGCUGCCCUAUAGCUGCCUCAUGGCUGCCCCACGGCUGCCCCACAGCUGCCCCAUAACUGCCCCAUAGCCGCCCCAUGGC